ACAUAAACUGUUGACCAGCUCUGCAAGGAGGAGUGGAUUCAGCCAGACCUCGAGGCUCCUUGCCCCCGUGGUUCAAGUAGUUUAGAAAGCAGCCUCGUGACUCAAUGAAAGUGUUAAAUCACUGCGUGGUACCUACACUGCAUCAAUAAUACAAUGUUUAUUUUGUAUCAAUAAAUAGAUGUAAAUAUAGUAAAUACAAAAGCUUCCCUAUUGCAGGUCCAAAGAAGGGCAGCAAGGCUUGUGAAGGGCCUCAAGUUGCACCAGCUGGGGUCAGCCCUGAGCACAGCUGCAGCAGCGCAGCCAGCCAGCUCUUAGGGAGUGCAGCCUCUUCUCCCCCACGCUGCUGAGCCGGUAGCAAAGAGCUUGCAGGCUGAAUCCAGGGGAUGUUCUCAGGAGCUGGACGGUUUCAGCCACCAGGGUGGAAAAAGAAGAGCUGCUGGUGCGCUCCAAACUUCUCAGGGCUGAUGUGGAAGAGAAAAGAGUGGAGUUCAGAGCCCCUGUCUGUGCAAAGCAAGCCAGGAAACCCUCCUGCCGUGGCCACCACACCCAGCUCUUCCCAGGUCCAGCAUGGAGCAGGGAGACAGCGGGGUCAGCUGGAGAGGGGCUGGCAGCAAAUGCUCGCUGCUUUGCCCGCACUGCCCCUUGUCUGCAGAGGUUGCAGAGCCCUCCUGGGUUGGGACCGGGGUUGCAGCUCACUGCCCAGGGUCUUUUCUUCUCCCUGCCACAGCGCUCUGACCCCCUCACUGCCCUCACUCACCCUCGAUGGUGUCAUUCAGCUUCUCACUGCCGUCUCUCAAGCACCACCCAGCAAGCCCGAGGCACACACAGCCCGUCACAGAUCCCACUGCCAGCCCAUCCCCCCAGCACAGCACAGCCCCCCACCACCUGCUGGCCUGGCCACGUGCCUGCGAUGGCAGCACCCAAGGAGGCUUCGAGACACCCAGUAAGGCUCCCACUGGUACCUGCUGCGCGGACAGGGCUGGCAGAGGGCAGCAGGGAGACCCAUGAGGGCCCCAGCCCCUCCUUGGGCUGGCGUGGCUCCAUGGGCAUGUGGCUCAGCCAGCAGCAGCCGGUGCUGGGGCCAAGGUGAUGUGGGGCACAGAAGGGCCAGGGCUUGUGGCUCACCAAUGAACCUGACGGCCGCCUCUCGCAGGGGCUCAGCCUCGUGGGGAAAAAUGCAGGGGUGCCCCCAAGCCAGGGUGACUGGGAUGAGAGUGCAGGCACCAGCUCUGCUCUGUCGACGUGCAACCUGACCCUCCCCACUCUGCCAGAGACCCUGAGGUUUCAAAGGCACCUCCAGGAGGCACCACUUGCUUCUAGGCCCACCUCAACGAACGCAGCCAUGGCCCCGAUCUCCUUCUUUACCUGAACUGUGUUUCUGUACCUGAACUGUUUCUUCAAACACCACAGCACAGCAGAGUGGUCCUGUGUUUUGCAGCGUGCUGGCCGGGGGAAGAAUGCAGAGAUGUUCUCAGUUAGCUGAGAAGAGCCUUGCCUACGCACAACCACGGCAGCCAGGUACAGUCCCCCCAAGUGCCACCUGCCAGUCACCGUGAUGGAGCGAGCCCUCACCAGGGCAUGGAGCUCCUCGGUGCCAGAGGCAGGCUCCUCUGGGCGAUGGGGCCAGGAACAAGGCCUGAGCCCAGCCCCUCGACCUGUUUGUGGAACAGUGCAGUCAAGGUGCCGCUCUGCCCAGCCCUUGCACUGCAGCUUCCCAAAAAAGCCUGCUGCGGACCCUUCCGAGCAGCACCCGCCUCCUCAGAGAGUUCCAGCUGGCUCUGUGAACCACUGCAUUCCUCCUUUGUCCCCGGGCCAAGCAGAAAGAGACAGAAAGAGCUCCAGCUGUGGAGCUGAGGGGAAGCAAGGUGGCCCAUCUCAGAAGUGCUGUUUGCCCUCUGGCUGUUCUCCAGAAGGAGUGCUGGGGCAGAAAAGUCUUGCUGUGGGCUGGGUGGCAGAUGCAGACCCACCACCUUCUGAGGCCUUCCUUCUUAACCCACUGAGUGCCUCUGCAGGGGAUGUGUAGUGUGACCCUGGCUGGGGCUGCGGAGGUGCAGGGGCCAUGGUCAGUCCUCCCAGUGACUGGCCUGCAGCCUUCCCUGGGGGCUCUUUCUUAUACGAUGAGUGGAAAGCUUGGUCCUCUCCAAGAAGCACUUGGAGGUGUAUGGCUGAAGAGUCUCACUUUCCUCUGCAGAAAGAACCAGGCAGCUCACCCAUCGAACACUGCUGUCCAGGCAAGCUUGAGCUACCGGGAGGCAAUUCUGGAUCUCAGUGCCUUCUGCUUUUGCACCGCAAUCAUCGCUGUGGAACUGACAGAGGAGAACCUGAAGCAAUCCUUCUCUGCCAUCCAUCUGCUGGUGGCCAGGGAGCUGGGUCUCCAGGCUGGUGAGACUUGCAGUGACAGGCAGCGCACUCUGCAGACCACGCUCGAAGGCACAACAGAAGAGAGCAGCUAUUGCCUGCUCAACGAUGUUUUCUUAGUUGAGUUUCCCAUCACAGACAAGGUUUGCAAGAUGUGUUGCGCUUGAACGGGCCAGUGCGUUCCACCUGACUUGUACACGAGUGCUACAGAUGAGCAUGUCUCCUUCCUCCUGUCUCAGAGGAGCCAAACAACUGUGCUGGCUGGCUGCGGGCUCCGCGCUGGAGCUGCUUGAGGGAUGGCAGGGCGAUGCACCUGGGUCAUGGCCCUUCUCACCUGAGAGGGGUGUCUUCUGGACAGUACUUUGCCCAAGUUCCCUCCUUCUGCUGGGGAACUGAUGUUAGAGGAGACUUUACGGUCUCGCAGAAACAAAUUUGGUAAACUCCUGGAGAGGGAGGUGGCUGAGGAGAGGCUUCUGAGUAUCCCCUUGUCCUAAGGAGAGAAAGGCUACGUGUCCUCCCCAGAAGACACUCGAGAAUCCACCAGAUUCCACUCAGAACCACCUGCUUUUUUCAGGUACUUAGAGGGGAAGUUGGUAUAUUUUUCAUUGACAACACCCACUUCCUGGACUCUGAGUCCUGG
ensembl:lncRNA